rnacentral:piRNA from 1 species
UAUUUAGUGAACCUGAUGAUGUUGUUAUG